rnacentral:rRNA from 1 species
UACAGGGGGUGCAAACGUUGCUCGGAAUUAUUGGGCGUAAAGGGCGCGUAGGCGCCUUCUAAGUCGAACGUGAAAUCCCCGGGCUCAACCCGGGAACUGCGUCCGAUACUGGAAGGCUUGAAUCCGGGAGAGGGAUGCGGAAUUCCAGGUGUAGCGGUGAAAAUUCGUAGAUAUCGGGAGGAACACCGGUGGCGAAGGCGGCGACCUGGGUCGACACUGACGCUGAGGCGCGAAAGCGUGGGGAGCAAACAGGAUUGAAGAAACCCCGGUAGGUACCGCAAGAACCCGA